rnacentral:rRNA from 1 species
GAUGAACGCUGGCGGUGUGCCUAAUACAUGCAAGUCGAGCGAACAGGCGAGGAGCUUGCUCCUCUGACGUUAGCGGCGGACGGGUGAGUAACACGUGGAUAACCUACCUAUAAGACUGGGAUAACUUCGGGAAACCGGAGCUAAUACCGGAUAAUAUAUUGAACCGCAUGGUUCAAUAGUGAAAGACGGUUUUGCUGUCACUUAUAGAUGGAUCCGCGCCGCAUUAGCUAGUUGGUAAGGUAACGGCUUACCAAGGCAACGAUGCGUAGCCGACCUGAGAGAGUGAUCGGCCACACUGGAACUGAGACACGGUCCAGACUCCUACGGGAGGCAGCAGUAGGGAAUCUUCCGCAAUGGGCGAAAGCCUGACGGAGCAACGCCGCGUGAGUGAUGAAGGUCUUCGGAUCGUAAAACUCUGUUAUUAGGGAAGAACAAAUGUGUAAGUAACUAUGCACGUCUUGACGGUACCUAAUCAGAAAGCCACGGCUAACUACGUG